AAAUUUGGCCAUACCACCUUAGGCACGCCCGAUCUCGUCUGAUCUCGGAAGCUAAGCAGGGUCGGGCCUGGUUAGUACUUGGAUGGGUGACAGCCUGGGAAUACCAGGUGCUGUAAGCA
ensembl:rRNA 5S_rRNA 5S ribosomal RNA